UGGGGGGGAAGGGAGGGGCUGAGGAGGGGGGAAGGGAAGGGGGCUAGGGUGGGCCUAAGGGCUUGGGAGAGGGUAGGUGCUGCAGGGUGGUGGUAGGCAUAGAGGGUGGUGUUUGGGCAGCAGGAUUGAAGGGGGAUGGUACCAGCGGGGCGCACGUGUCGAGCAUAGCACCUGUGGCAAGCAGCCUGUCAGAGGAUGUUCCUACACCUGCCAAGUGGUGUAUCCAGAAACAAAGGAGGCCCAGCUUAUAAUUCUUCAACUGUGUGCAAUGUUUAGCGAAAUCAUUGUACCAGGAAAUAAUUCUGCCUAAAUGGGGCAGUCCACACUGGCAGGAAUGUAGGCUGAUCUGUCGACAACCGCCGAAGAAUGACCUCAAUGUUAAAAAUGCAGAUUCCCGGGUCCCACCCCAAAUCUCAUCAGAAGACCGAAUUUUUAACAAGACUCAAAGGUUCGGAAUUAGUGCUGCUAAUUCUCUUCACCAGUGGGGAAGGAAGAUUUUGCUGUAAAGGCCUAGCAGCCUCCUGUCAGCCAGUAGAUCUAGGCUGAACCUGAUGAGAGGAGGAAAUUUUUCUACUAUUAGGCAAAAACACAUAUAAGAAACAGCAGAUUAGGAAAAAAAUUAGGUGCCAAAGUGUGUAGUUCAAACCAGGCAAUGUGGGAGAUCACAGAGAAAUCCCUGUGGGAGGGGAGUGUUAGCCACCAUAAAUACCUGUUGAGGUUUCUUCUCUGCAGGGCAUCUUUUUUUGGAGGUACAGACCUGGUUCCCAGGGUCCCUGGAGGCCCUUGCACUUCAAGAGUCCUCGCCUUUCUCUUUGGGGCAGCUUCAGCCCACCCCGUCCUCUUCUGGACUGAGGACUGAAAAUGGAUGCACACCCUCUGCAGUUGCUGUGUUUCUUCUCACAGCCCCAUCAUUCCUACCACCAGCUGUUAGGCCCCAGCCACUGCCACAGUCUGGAGGAGGCUAAACAGCUUGACAAGCACCUGUUGUGUCAUACCCCCGAAGUUGUCCCCUGUAUUUAGAAGGCCAGUCUUCCCCCAAGCCUUGUGCCCUCCAUUGCCCCACUCCGCACACGUAUAUCACCGCCAUGUACCCCAUCCCUGCCAGCAGAACCACUGGGCAAUGCAUCACCAUUUUAGGGUUCACCCCCUAGAGCAGUUACAUAUUCUCUGUCACUUGUUUGCCAAGAGCUUGAGGUUUGUGAGCUGAAUCCACCUUACCACCACCACCCUCACCCUCAC